rnacentral:rRNA from 1 species
GUAGGGAAUAUUGCACAAUGGAGGAAACUCUGAUGCAGCGACGCCGCGUGAGUGAUGAAGGCCUUCGGGUCGUAAAGCUCUGUCGCAGGGGAAUAACACAAUGAAGGUACCCUGUAAGAAAGGAUCGGCUAACUUCGUGCCAGCAGCCGCGGUAAGACGAGGGAUCCUAGCGUUGUUCGGAAUCAUUGGGCGUAAAGCGGAUGUAGGUGGCUAUGUAAGUCAGAUGUGAAAGCCUGGGGCUCAACCCCAGAAGUGCAUUUGAUACUGCGUAGCUUGAGUGUCGGAGAGGUUACUAGAAUUGUUGGUGUAGUGGUGAAAUACGUAGAUAUCAACAGGAAUACCGGAGGCGAAGGCGGGUAACUGGCCGAACACUGACACUGAGAUCCGAAAGCGUGGGGAUCAAACAGGAUUAGAUACCCUAGUAGUCC